rnacentral:misc_RNA from 1 species
GUGAUCAUCGAAUCUUUGAACGCAAAUUGCGCUUCCUGGCAUCCCGGGAAGUAUGCCUGUUUGAGGGUCAGUAUUAAUAAAAAAUCGGUUUAGUUACAAAUUGUGACGUUUCCGGAGUUUGGGCUAUCUUAACAUUUUUGGUUAAGAGGCUUAAAAUUGACCUUUUUUGCGCAUUUUUAAACGUACAUAAUUUUUUUUUUUCCUUUAUUCCUAAUGCCAAAAAUCUAAUUAAUUCCAU